rnacentral:rRNA from 1 species
CCCCUUUCGGGGGGCAAGUAGAGUGGCGCACGGGUGAGUAACACGUAGGUAAUCUACCUUUGGAUGGGGAAUAACAAUCGGAAACGGUUGCUAAUACCGCAUAAUGCAGCGGCACCUAAUGGUGACAGUUGUUAAAGCGGGGGAUCGAAAGACCUCGCGUCUAAAGAGGAGCCUGCGGCAGAUUAGCUAGUUGGUAAGGUAAUGGCUUACCAAGGCAACGAUCUGUAGCCGGCCUGAGAGGGCGGUCGGCCACACUGACGCUGACAUACGGGUCAGACUCCUACGGGAGGCAGCAGUCGGGAAUUUUGGGCAAUGGGCGAAAGCCUGACCCAGCAACGCCGCGUGAAGGAUGAAAUCCCUCGGGAUGUAAACUUCGCAAGAACGGGAAGAAUAAGUAGGGGACAAUACCCCCUAUGAUGACGGUACCGUUUGUAAGCUCCGGCUAACUCCGUGCCAGCAGCCGCGGUAAUACGGGGGGAGCAAGCGUUGUUCGGAUUUACUGGGCGUAAAGGGCGCGUAGGCGGCCACCGCAAGUCAAUUGUGAAAUCUCCGGGCUUAACUCGGAAAGGUCAACUGAUACUGCGGGGCUAAAGUGCGGAAGGGGCAACUGGAAUUCUCGGUGUAGCGGUGAAAUGCGUAGAUAUCGAGAGGAACACNUGCGGCGAAGGCGGGUUGCUGGGCCGACACUGACGCUGAUGCGCGAAAGCCAGGGGAGCGAACGGGAUUAGAUACCCCGGUAGUCCUGGCCU